CAGGGAAUAUUGCGCAAUGGGGGCAACCCUGACGCAGCGACGCCACGUGUGGGAUGGAGCGCCUAGGCGUGUAAACCACUGUCGCGAGGGAAUAGCGGGCAAUCUCGGUUGCCAUGAAUGUACCUUGAGAGGAAGCGCCGGCAAACUUCGUGCCAGCAGCCGCGGUAAUACGAGGGGCGCGAGCGUUGUUCGGAAUCACUGGGCAUAAAGGGAGCGCAGGCUGCCCUUCAAGCCGGGCGUGCAAGUCCGCGGCCUAACCGCGGGAUUGCGCCCGGGACUGAGGGGCUUGGAUAUUCCAGAGGCUGGCGGAAUUCCCGGUGGAGCGGUGGAAUGCGUAGAUAUCGGGAAGAACACCGGAGGCGAAGGCGGCCAGCUGGGGAACUAUCGACGCUGCAGCUCGAAAGCGCGGGUAGCAAACAGGAUUAGAUACCCUGGUAGUCCGCGCCGUAAACGAUGCGCGCUUGGCGCCCGGC
rnacentral:rRNA from 1 species